GACGUAGGGCGCGAGCGUUGUCCGGAUUUACUGGGCGUAAAGGGCGCGUAGGCGGCCUCCGCAAGUCAGUUGUGAAAUCUCCGAGCUUAACUCGGAAAGGUCAACUGAUACUGCGGGGCUAGAGUGCGGAAGGGGCAACUGGAAUUCUUGGUGUAGCGGUGAAAUGCGUAGAUAUCAAGAGGAACACCUGCGGCGAAGGCGGGUUGCUGGGCCGACACUGACGCUGAGGCGCGAAAGCUAGGGGAGUGAACGGG
rnacentral:rRNA from 1 species